rnacentral:rRNA from 1 species
AGCCAGACUCCUACGGGAGGCAGCAGUGGGGAAUAUUGCACAGUGGGGGGAACCCUGAUGCAGCGACGCCGCGUGGGUGAAGGAGUAUUUCGGUAUGUAAAGCCCUAUCAGCAGGGAAGAACAAUGACGGUACCUGACUAAGAAGCACCGGCUAAAUACGUGCCAGCAGCCGCGGUAAUACGUAUGGUGCAAGCGUUAUCCGGAUUUACUGGGUGUAAAGGGAGCGCAGGCGGCGCGUUAAGCCUGGUGUGAAAGCCUGCGGCCCAACCGCGGGACUGCAUUGGGAACUGGCGCGCUGGAGUGCCGGAGGGGUAGGCGGAAUUCCUAGUGUAGCGGUGAAAUGCGUAGAUAUUAGGAGGAACACCAGUGGCGAAGGCGACGAUCUGGCACAUAACUGACGCUGAGGAGCGAAAGCGUGGGUAGCAAACAGGAUUAGAUACCCGGGUACAU